rnacentral:lncRNA from 1 species
CAUGCCGGUAGUUUCACAGAAGGGGAAGCAAAAUGUCGGAAUCGGAUGGGAGGGCCUCUUAUUGUGUUCCUUAAAGAAAAAUGUUUCGUGCCUCGUUUUAAAGUGAACAAAAACACUGUGGCGGGUUUUAGCAGCUCAUCAGCUUUGGGAUUCAUCAGCCAGCUCAUCUCUGCACUAUGAAGAUGGGAACAGAUGGACAGGCUGAAAAGGACAAAGGAGAAAUUGUUCCAGGCAAGGUAAGUGUCAUAUCAUCUUGUUAGUGUAGAAACAGGUUGGACAGUCACUGUGAUCAUAUAUGUAUUGUAGAUCAUAAGAUUAAGAUUCAGCAUGCACAGCACUCUCUGCUGAAUAUGCUUAAUGCCUUCUGUCUUGUCUUCUUGUAGUCACAAUCUGAACAAUGUCCUAAUGAAGAGGAGGAAGUGGAGUCUAAAGCAGACAGAAGGACAGUUGGCUUAAGAUGUUUCCAAGGAAACAGAGAGACCUCGGAGGAUGAGCCUAGUGAACUGGGGGCUGCUGUUGUUACUUCGUCUGAGUCUGUAUUUCUUGUGCCUCCGCUCAUCUCACAACCUCAGUACCUGGACUGUGACUUUGAUGUGGCGCUAACAGCAGAAGUGAAAGUAGAGAAUGGCGCAUGUCUUGCUUUGUUGACAUCUGUUACCCCAAAUCUUGGUUACCAGAAGCCAGGUAGGUUCAAGUCCAUAGCUUGUCUAAGAUAAUGUAAAUAGUACUGUGUGAUCAAACUAAUACCUCUUUUUUCAUUGUCUUUCUUAGGGUCCUUCUUAAAUGGAAAUUUUCACUUCCCACCGUCUUUAAGGAAAAAGAGAAUCUCUAUAGACAGUUUUUUGCCUUCAGGCUCUUUUUCUGGAUGUUACUCAAGUG